GUCAUAAUCCCCAAAGCUACCUUUAUUCCACGACUCUUUCCACCAUUUUCCUACAGUCAGCUUUUUUUAAGGCUAUAGCCUUUAAAAACUUGAAACAGAAAAUUUUAAGGAUGCAACCAUUAGAAAAUGUUCCCAUACUACCAUUUAACAUUCCCCAUUUAUCAUUAUGUUUACUAUCGUGUAAUUUCCAACAUAAUAUUAUGAGGUCAAAGGCUCUACGAACGCCGUUUUACAAUCUACCUAGGGAGGCAAUGGCUGUGAAACACACCACACCAAUGACAGGAAUGCGGGUCACUGUGACACAACGGAUCCCUCUGCAAAGUCAAAGCUAAGAGUUCACUUUACGCUGACGGAGCUUCUUUCCAGGACCCCCACCCCCACCCAAGGACAGGAGAGUGUCGAUUUCCCAAGGUGUCUGGCACUGCUUCUUGAAAACGCAGCUCUCAUCUGGUUCCUGGAAGGUCAUACUGGUUCGCGCAGGGCUCGGGACGGGGCGCUUGGCUUCUGAGGCACCCGCGCUGGCUCCUCACCCGGUGACCUUCAGGCCUCUGCGCUUGGCCUGACCCUAGAAGGGCCACCGCCCUUCACAGCGGGCGGGCACCGUCCCUCCCACGGCCCCGCCGACUGCUGACGCGGUGGCCCCAAGGGUCCAGGCCCGCACUUGCCCCACUCCCGCGGCGCCGUCCCCCAUAGUCGGUCCCCGAGGGCCGCGCCCAGCUCCUGCUCGGAUUUCAGCCCGCACCGCACCCCAGCCGCCAGGGAACCUUCCAGAACCCUGCCCCUCUGGCUUUCUCCCGAAAGCCCAGGGUCGCCGUCCAGGAAGAAACUUCGAUUCAUUUAUUGAGCGCCGACUGUGUCCAAGGCCGAGGGAGGGGCGGGGUUUCCACGCGGGGAGACCCCCUAGGUUCUCGCCUCGGGACCAGGCCUGGGAUCGUGAAACAUCUGGGGAAACGACUCCACUCACUCACCUGCAGACUGAGAGCCCAUCUUGUACCGUGUUAUACUUUAAGAGAGUUGACUGUUGAGAUGAUGAUGAAAACGGAAGAACAACUGAGCCUAGUUGGAGGCUCUUUGAAGUCCCAGAACCUCCUCCUGGAAGCCCUCUUUGGUUAACCAGAUGGACAUCUCAGUUGCCCUCUGAGCCUGAACCAAGUGUCAGGAAGAGUUUUCUAUGGCCCUUGACUCCUUAACUCUUUGCUUAUAGCGUCUCUGCUCUCUGAUGCCUCUGCUGUCAGAGAAAGGCUGUGGUUUAAAUAUUUAUUUAUGAAUCCAUCAGCUUGGGCCAACUAGGUCCAUUUAUCACCGUUUUGACUGUGUCUAAACUGUCAUUAGUGGUGUGACUAGAAACCAGUUAAUUUCGCUGGGUGGUAAAUUCGUGGACUGAUCUCCAAACCCUCCUACUGUGCUAAUGUUGCCAAUGGAAGUUUCCAGAGGCCAGGAUCCCUGGCCAACACGUGAUCGUAAACAACAUCAGGGCCUCACAGGGAACUCACAAUUUACUGAGGUUUGCUCUGUGCCAGGUGUUUUCAUGAUCCUCCAUCCCCUUGUCGUUUAGUCCUCUUCUCUGAGUCCUCCCCAUUUUACUGAUGAGGACGGAAAUCGAGGCACACGAUUAAGCGUUUCCCUGGGUCACACAGCUAAUGAAUGGCGAGCUGGAAGUCAGUCCCAGGUCAUCAGACUCCGAAGUCCAUGGUUUUGGUGAUGAAGGUGGGCUGUGAAAUGUGUGUCUUAUUCUAUGCAUGUGAGUCCGCUGGAACCAACUUUUCCACUUGGAACACAAUCUCAGUGCCUUUCAGCAGGUUUCCUAGUGCCUGUGACCAAACACCUUGUGUGUGCUCCCCAGGAGAGAAAACCGCUAGCAGCCUCAG
rnacentral:lncRNA from 1 species